rnacentral:lncRNA from 1 species
GGGGUCGUAGAAUUGUAGGGUGUACCACCUAACUCUGAAGUAAUAUAAAGAAUAGAACUGCAUUAAUAAGAAUGUUUUAAGAUUAUUAGAGAUUGCCCAUGAAUUUUAAACUAUAUCAUGUAUGAUGUUUCAUGACUUGCUCUCACCUAUUAUAUAUAUAUAUAUAUAUAUAUAUAUAUAUAUAUAUAAAUACAUUAUUUUGAAUUGCUCUGCGUACCAGUACAUCUGUAUUGACCCCUAUAUUUCAAGGAUCUGAGACAUAGUCUUGGGGUCCCGUUCAGCAAUAGGCUUGAGUGCGUCAGAAGUUACAGUUGGUGAGCCUUCUCUAUUUCGGAAGGCCUGAUUUUCAGAUUUCAUUAUUUCUUUCCUUUUUUAUGGUCUACUGGGGGCCUUGGCCCAGUUUUGUCUCAGACUUAUGAUGGUUAUUGUAAUGUUAGAGAUUUCACAGACGGUUGUCACAUGUUUAUAAUAUUCAGAAUUUCCCUUUUUAAAUUUAUCAAGUUUAUGAGAUUGACCAUGGUUUCGUCAUGUAUUGUUUCUGCAAAUUUUCUUAUACUAUAUGAAUAUUGUGCAUGAUUACCACAUUUAAAAGAGUGCUCGGGCCUUCAUGGCUCGGGAUGCUUGUUACGACGAGGGUCCUGCCUCAGGUCGUGACAAUGUCACUCACACAUAAUGAUAUAAAUCAUAUAUCUCCUUUUGAAAGUAAACAUCCUUUUGAGCUUUCUUACAAAGUGUGUUGUUUUGACUUCUUUAGCACUAAUUAUAGGAGCUAUUAAAAUUAAAAAAUCCUUUUCAACAUUAACGAAAGAGUCUAUUAUCUUUUUUAUCUUUCGUGAUAUCAUAUUAUAUUAAAUGUUAUGGUGUAAAGAUCUUCCUUUCAAAUUCUCCUUCCUAGAUUGAAGAAUUUGGAAAAGGAAAGUACCCAUUUCACUUGUGAUGCAUACAUGGAAAACUAAUAUUUAUCAAUAUUGUAGGCAUUGAGAUCAUUAAGAAUCUUAGUCAAUUGAGAAUUUAUUCUUGAGGGGGAAUACUGCUCAAACAGUUUAGAAGUAUAUAUCAUGGGUAGCAGAAUUCGACCUUCUAUUGAACAAAAAGAAGACAACCAGUAAAUGAUGGAGCAUUGCUAGUAAUAGUAGAAUAAAAUGUGUGUUUCAGGUUAUAACAAUUCUAAUAUUGUGGUUCUUGUAGAAGAUAAGGAAUAUAGUACUUCAUGGGGGAGUUAUUCACUUGGAAAAUUUAUUUAGGAAGUGACUGAUACUAUAAAGACAUUCCUGAGGAGUAGAUUUAAUUUCAAUUGUGAUAACAUAAGCUAGCCUCAAAUCCUUGGUGUAUUGGAUAGGUACAAACCAAUUUAUAAUUUCAGAUUAGUUAGAUGGGUUCAUCUUCCUAUGAAUUGGGUCAAGUGCAAUACAUUUGAGGCAUAUACACCAAUCCUAGACCUAGUUUUGUUGUAUUUUGUACUAGAGAAUCAUGUGGAAAUUUUGUCGUUGCUAAGGGUGUAAGAAUUCACGAUACCACUAACUUAGUGGCUGAGAUAAGGGCUAUCAAAGAAGGAUUAUUAUACUGCAGGAAUAAUCUUAUAAGCCAUGUGAUAUUAGAAUCAGAGCUAUGUGAUAUUAGAAUAAGACUCAUGUCUCUAAUUUAGAUUCUAAAAAAAGAACGGAAGAUCCCUUGGAGUAUUCCAGUUGAAGUUUAUUGAAUAAUGGAUAUAAUGGGUACUAUAUUAGUGAGAGUACAACACUCACUUUCGGAGGUAAAUACUCUUAUUGAUUUGUUUGCUAAUCUUGUGCUUUCUUUUGCAUGUGAUUAUCAUAAAUACCAAUUUCAAUACAUACCCAACAAUGGAAAAAAGAUCUUAGCACUAGACAAAGAAUGACUACUAAAAAGUAAGAGACUACAAGAAGUUGAAUCAUGAUGCUGCAAAUGUGAUUAUCAAUUUCGAUGUUUACAAGAGUUAAUGAGAAUGUUGCACAUAAGAAGGUUACAAAUAGAGAAUGCAACAAACAACAACUAGUAAAGUUUUUUUGGUAUAUAGUUGUACGACUAACAUUCUGGCAUUGUAGAUAAAUUAAUAUGAAUACUAAAUUGCUACUUUGACUGAAGAAAUUUCAUUUGAUUUGGAUAUCCGCACCUGUGAGAAUUUUUGGUGUAUCUCUGAAAACAAAUAAAGUCUGAGGUAGCUAAGAUUCAAAUUGAUGUAACCAGAUAUCUGGAAUCUCUGUACACCUGCAACACGGUAAAGAUAAAUUAGACAUUUCUUUGACUAUUACCCUUCAUUUACAUCUUGAUUUUAUGGUGGCAUUAACUUCAAAUAUAGUUCAACCAAUUGAUCUAGAGGUAAAUAGGGUCAAUAUGUCUACGAGAAGAACACAAGGAAUAAAGGUGACUUAGCGGAGAGUUGAGAUUGAAUGUGAACUCGAUCUCAACACAGGCAGAUGAAUUUGAAGAUUUGGAUUGGGAGCUGAAAUUCAUGAUGAACUUCAUAGAUAGAGGCAAGAAAUCAACCUUAGGAAUGAAGUGAACAAACAAGAAGCUUUUAAGGUCAAGAAAAGGGAUGGAAAUGGUGGAUGCGAGAUCUGGUUUGACUUUGUUUAGCUUGAGACAUCAAUGUCUCUUCACUUUCCACUUUUCAACUUUUACUUCUGUAUUUUAUUUGGGCCAAGUUAGCUUUGGGCGUGGCUUUGUAUAGACCUUGCUCAUUUUAUUCUAAUUCUCUUUCCAUUUCUAAUUAUAAUGUGUCAUGUGUCA